UACGGGGGGGGCAAGCGUUGUUCGGAAUUACUGGGCGUAGAGGGCUCGUAGGCGGCCAACUAAGUCAGACGUGAAAUCCCUCGGCUUAACCGGGGAACUGCGUCUGAUACUGGAUGGCUUGAGUUUGGGAGAGGGAUGCGGAAUUCCAGGUGUAGCGGUGAAAUGCGUAGAUAUCUGGAGGAACACCGGUGGCGAAGGCGGCAUCCUGGACCAACACUGACGCUGAGUGAGCGAAAGCUAGGGGAGCAAACGGG
rnacentral:rRNA from 1 species